AGAGUUUGAUCCUGGCUCAGAGUGAACGCUAGUAGUAUGCUUUACACAUGCGAGUCGAACGAUUUUUUCGUGGCGGACGGGUGAGGAAAUACAGAAUUUUGCCUUCUAGUUUAAGGAUAAACCGUAUUCAAUUUUUUUUGAAGUAAAAUCAGAAAGGAUUUACGUUAAUACUAGAUUUAAAGAUUAUUUUUAAUAAUUGCUAGAAGAUAAAUCUGUAGAAGAUUAGGUAGUUGGUAAUUUAAAAGCUUACCAAGCCAAUGAUCUUUAGUUGGUCUGAGAGGACGAUCAACCACACUGGAACUGAGACAAGGUCCAGGCUGAAUUAAUGGCCAGCAGUGAGGGAUAUUGGACAAUGAACGAAAGUUUGAUCCAGCAAUACUAUUUGAAUGAUGACGGCUAAUUUGGUUGUAAAGUUCUUUCGUUAAAAAUGAUAAUGACAUUAUUUAAAGAAGCUAACAGUCCCGGCUAAUCUCGUGCCAGCAGCCGCGGUAAUACGGGAGGGGCAAGCGUUAUUCGAAAUAACUGGGCGUAAAGAGUUCGUAGACUGUGAUACAAGUUAUUUGUUAAUUUUUAAAGCCUAACUUUAAGUCAGCAAAUAAUACUAUUUCACUUGAGUUUUUUUCAGAAAAGUAGAAUUUUAUAUUAAGGGGUGAAACCUGUAGAUAUAUAAAGGAAUACCAUUAAAAGCGAAGGCGACUUUUUAGUAAAAACUGACGUUGAGGGACGAAAGUAUAGGGAGCAAACAGGAUUAGAUACCCUGGUAGUCUAUACUGUAAAUUCUGAGUGCUGUAAUUUAAUUAAUUUGUUUUAAUUGGAUUUUUUUAAGCUAACGCUAUAAGCACUCCGCCUGAGGAGUAUGAUCGCAAGGUUGGAACUCAAAGGAAUUGACGGGGGCCUACAACUAGUGGUGGAGCAUGUGGUUUAAUGCGAUAAUCCGCGCAAAACCUUACCAAUUUUUGAAUAUGAUUUAAAAAUAGAAUUCGCGUUAAUGCAAAUUUUAUUUAAUAAUUUUACAGGUGUUGCACGACUGUCGUCAGCUCGUGUCGUGAGAUGUUUGGUUAAUUCCUUUAACGAGCGCAACUCUUAUCUUUAAUAAAUUAUAAAUUUUAAUUUAAAUUAUUUUAAAAGAUACUGCUAAUGAUAAAUUUGAGGAAGGUGAGAAUUAAGUCAAGUCAAUGUGGCCCUUAUAAAUUGGGCUACACACGUGCUACAAUGAAAAUUACAAAAAGUAACAAAAAUGAAAAUUUUAGUUAAUCUUUUAAAAAUUUUCUCGGUUCGGAUUGUAAUCUGCAACUCGGUUACAUGAAGGUGGAAUCACUAGUAAUCGCAAAUCAGCAUGUUGCGGUGAAUAUGUUACUUGGCCUUGUACACACCGCCCGUCACAUGCAAAGAGUUAAUUUUGCUUGAAGAUUUAAUCUUAAGUUAUUAAGUCAAUUGAGAAAUUAGCAAUUUGGAUGAAGUCGUAACAAGGUAACC
rnacentral:rRNA from 1 species